UUCAAGGCGUAAGGAGUGGAAUGUUUAAGUUGCAAAUCAACGGUAGACAGCCAUUUAAUAUCUCGCAAUUCAUGUAGAGGAAAAUUUUCCACCUUAUCAGAGGGAAAUAAACCCCACCACCUGAGUGAUACAAACAAACAACAAAAAAUUAAAAAUAGCCAACACAAAUAAUUGUAAUUGGAACAAGAUGAAAGGGUGAUCGCCGUCAUGAUGAACUCCCUUUUUCUUUCUUUCUCUCAGGAACUCUUUUAGUAUUUAUUUUAAUCUUCGAUCCCCACUUCGACCACUCGCCAGUGGACCAGCAAUAGUUCUUUGGUUGGGGAGCCUUUUGAUGUACAAAACAACCAAUGUUCGUUGAUGUGUUUGUCCCUUCUGUAUUCCUUUGUGUCGUCUCUUUUCUUUUCCCGAAUGAUGGGUGUCAGAGGUUACUAGCACUUAACACCAGCAGCAGUAAGGUCAUUUAUCCUCAUUCAGAAAGUUGCGUGUCGUUCUCCUUGGUCUGCUGUUCUGUCGACUGCUGGACGAAUUCCUCUCAGUCAGGAUGAGUGUCCUCUCAAGGCUCCGGUACCCGUUUACACUGGCUGGUGUGAAUCCACGUUGCCCGCUCUGCAACCUUAACAGCCGUAACUGUGACGAGUAGCACUUGAAAGGGUCCCUGCCAGCGUUUGGAGUUCCAAUGCGUCCUCCGAAAGUCUUUCACCACGACCCAAUCACCGGGUUUGAUGGCAUGUAGUGGAGUCUCGGCAGGACAUGGCAAUGCGUCUUUCACCGUCUGAAAAACUUGAGAAAUCACAUUCGACAGGUUUUGACAGUAAGACAACUUUGCAUCAUCACAGACAGAAGUGGAAGGAAGGACCUUCCUCUGAGGCCGUAAACCCAAGUUAGGAGAUCUGCCAAACAGGAUUUCAAAUGGACUGAGGUUAAUCCUGGCUCUUCUUUGCAUCCUCAUAUAAGUCAAAACGAUUGGUAGGGCUUUAACCCAUGACAGACCUGUUUUCUCACAGCAUUUAGCUAGUUUGGUCUUUAAAAUGCGCUCUGUGGGUAAUACCCGCAGUGAGUUUUUAGAGUCGUACCUAAAACUUUCCCACUUCAGUUAAUGCAGCAUUAACAAAGUGUGUGCCAUUGUCACUGCUAAUCCUGUCAGGAAUACCCCAUCGUGGAAUCAUUUCAGUCAGCAGAGCUUUAGUUACAGUGUGACUGUCCACAUGCUUUGAUGGUAAAGCUUCCACCCAUUUGCUAAACAUGUACAAGCAAAACAAGCAAAAAUUUCUUCCCCUCAGCAGGGGAAGGUUCAAUAAAGUCCAUCAUCAAAUAGUUAAAAGGUCUGUCAGGUGGAGGCUGUGCAGCCUGAGAUGCGCUCGCACCUCUCCCUGUAUUGUGUGUUGCACAAAUCAUGCAUGUUUUACAGUGUCUUUGUGCAAAAGAACUGAAUCCUUUUGUAAACCAGUGUGCUGUAAGUGCAGCAAUCAUUCCAGACUUUGAAACAUGGUCAAAACCAUGAGUCAGUUUUGCCAAGUGUGGGAAAAUAUGUUUAGGAAGGCACGGCUUGCCAUUUGGACCCAUCCAUAUUCCAUUUUCAUAAACAGCCCCUGAGGAUUUCCAUUCUUGACGUUCCCCAGGGAUCUUUGCCUUUUUUUACAGGACAUAUUGGUGAGCGAACUGGAGAGUUAUUACAGGGAACAAUGAUGCCGGCUUUUUGUAGAGCUUCAAAAAGACGUUUUAUGCCUUCAACAGCUUCAGGUUUGAAGGGAUUUCAGGGUAAUAACUUGUUCACACCCUUUAAUUAGACCUACAUCAUAUUUGCUUUUAGCCCAAAAGUCAUCAGGAACUUUAGAGAGUGCUUUUGGUAGUGAAGACAGAUCUGUGUGAGAUAAAAAGCAUGUUCCAAAAUUUAGGUCUGUGGUAGGAAUCAAUUCCACAGUUUUUUGACAGUGCACUGCACAAUGAAACAAUUUUUUGAAUGC